rnacentral:rRNA from 1 species
AUUGAACGCUGGCGGCAGGCCUAACACAUGCAAGUCGAGCGGAGCGGCGGACGGGCGGGUGAUGACUAGGUAUCUGCCUGGCAGAGGGGGAGAACGUACGGAAACGGGCGCUAAUACCGAAUACUAGCAGACGAGCGUAGGUCGGUUUAGCUAGUUGGUGGGGUAACGGCCUACCAAGGUGACGAUCCGUAACUGGUCUGAGAGGAUGAUCAGUCACACUGGAACUGAGACACGGUCCCGACUCCUACGGGAGGCAGCAGUGGGGAAUAUUGGACAAUGGGCGAAAGCCUGAUCCAGCCAUGCCGCGUGUGUGAAGAAGGUCUUCGGAUUGUAAAGCACUUUAAGUUGGGAGGCGUUACCAACAGAAUAAGCACCGGCUAACUUCGUGCCAGCAGCCGCGGUAAUAC